rnacentral:rRNA from 1 species
UAUCAGGUAGUAGUGGGUGUAGCGUACCUACUAGCCUACGACGGGUACGGGUUGUGAGAGCAAGAGCCCGGAGAUGGGUUCUGAGACACGAAUCCAGGCCCUACGGGGUGCAGCAGGCGCGAAAACUUUACAAUGCUGGAAACAGCGAUAAGGGAACCUCGAGUGCCAGGUUACAAAUCUGGCUGUCGUGAUGCCUAAAAAGCAUUGCAUAGCAAGGGCCGGGCAAGACCGGUGCCAGCCGCCGCGGUAACACCGGCGGCUCGAGUGGUAACCGUUAUUAUUGGGUCUAAAGGGUCUGUAGCCGGCCGGACAAGUCUCUUGGGAAAUCUGGCAGCUUAACUGUCAGGCUUUCAGGAGAUACUGUCUGGCUCGAGGCCGGGAGAGGUGAGAGGUACUUCAGGGGUAGGGGUGAAAUCUUGUAAUCCUUGAAGGACCACCAGUGGCGAAGGCGUCUCACCAGAACGGACCUGACGGCAAGGGACGAAAGCUAGGGGCACGAACCGGAUUAGAUACCCGGGUAGUCCUAGCCGUAAACGAUACUCGCUAGGUGUCGGCCACGGUGCGACCGUGGUCGGUGCCGUAGGGAAGCCGUGAAGCGAGCCACCUGGGAAGUACGGCCGCAAGGCUGAAACUUAAAGGAAUUGGCGGGGGAGCAC